GUUCUACGACGUAACCUACGAAAAUUAACCAGACGUUGCCCGUGCGUUGCGAACGAGCGAGCGAAGCCUUUGCCCUCGAGCGACGCCACACCAGAUCCUUCGCCCUCGCAGCCGCCGCCGACCCCCUCCCUCAAACGCCGCCUCCCGUGGCUGCCGCCCCCGCCACCUCCCGUCGCGGCCGCCCCCGCCACCUCCCGUCCGGCCUGCCCGGCCAUGGCAACACCGUCGGCGGACUCCUCCUCCCCCUCACCUUCUCUCCCUCUCCCAAGGGAGGGAAGGGAAUGGAAGGGGUCCGGCGGCAAGGGGAGGCAGCGCCCAGAUCCGCAGCCGCACCGGCUGCAACCAUGGAGGUCCGACCCGGCUGCAGCCAUGGACUGAGACGUCCGAAACCCUAGCUACCCGUGGAGGUCCGACGCCUCAACCUCCAAGGAAAGGACGCGCGUUGGCUGCAGGCCAUCUCCGGCGACCUCCGACCAUGGUUGCUCGGAUCUGGACCAGCUGCUGCUCCUACUGCUUCAGGUGAACGAGGACGAGCCCUCCCUCAUGGCUGCUGCGGCUGCCUACUCCCUCCUCCUACCCCCUGGCCUGGUGUGUGAACAAAGGAAGCCUUGCGCCAAGGAGAAGCGGGCGUGGUGUUCGACUAGGCCAAAGAGAGGACAGGAGAGGACCACAGAGAGCAAAGGAGAGGAUAGAGUCAGAGCGCCGUCACUCAGCCGUGGGUAAAUCCGGUCAUGCUGCUUCAGGUUCAGGGUCUGCCUUGCUAUGAUACAAUGCGGGAGGAGAUCAACAUGUAGAGCAAGGUCUCCUGGUCCAAGUCCCCUGUCAGGAUGUGGUUCAACAUCAAGGGCAAGGCGCAGGAUUUCCAUGCGGAUAACGAUGCUACUACCCAAGGACGGGACGAAGGUGAUUAACGGAGGACCAGCUGCUUGUAGAGGGACACAGGCGCUGCCAAGAAAAGCAGAAUUGAACGGUCGUUGAAGCGAAAUAUCGAUCAUGUUCGUAGAUCAGGGAAUGAAUUUGAUGUGUCACGCCUGACAAAAGCCCAAGAUUACAGAAUCUUUGUGUCGACGUGGAAUGUUGGUGGCCAAUGCCCAUCAAGGGGGUUAAAUUUAGAUGACUGAAUCCAUUCUUCACCCCUGCUGAUAUCUAUGUGCUCGGAUAUCACUUAUUACGAGGACACUAAACAAGAACGCUGGGUCUAGCAUUCAUGCUGGCUAUCACACGCCAUUCCCUGUCCCUGAUCCGGUUGUGGAACUAGAUGCUGAUUUUAAGGUAUCAUUGAGAAGACAUGAUAGCUCAUCAUUUUCCACCACUAUCAUUCCGAAACCUGAGUCGGAGUUUAAGGGUUUCAGGAAAUGAUAUGUUCUCACAACCAAUAUUGGCCCGUAGGUUUAGUGUGUGCAACCCUGUUAACAUAGGAGUCAGGCCGAGCGAUUUUGAUAGAAAUUUCAAGUGUAUCGGAUCACCGGUCGAUGAGUAUAUUGAGGAGGAUACAAGUAAUGGAGCAUAUUUUUCACCAUUCCCAUAGGCUAUGGUACUUAAACACCUAUGGAAAAAGAUGAAGAGCAGCCAAAUACUUCUAGGUGUCUAGGUAUUGUUUGGUUGCCAGCAAACAGAUGGUUGGCAGAUUUCUCACAGUUUGGGUACCAGGUAUAUAACCAAUUAACUCUGAAGAGAUGAAAAUACAAAUUAGUGUGGUAUAUUGCCGGUUCUUUAUCUUAUGCUUGUCCAUGUGCUUUUCCCCCCUAGGUUGAUUAUGGACCACAUCAAACUUCUAAAUUAUAAACUAGAUAUCAUGUUCAGCGUAAUUCGGCACUAAUUUUCCGGUGUGCUAUUUCCCAUGUCCAUCUUACUAUCCAGCUGCUUGCUUGUGGUAAUUCUGCAAACACUAGAAAAAAAAUCAAAUUUAUAGGUUGUUCAUCCACCUUAUAAUGUUAAUUGGAGAUAAGACCACAGGAACAGUUUGAGGCACAUCACAUAAUUAUUCUGUAUGAACUGCCCUAAAACUAAUCAUAUUUACAUUUGUAGGGGCUAGCUUUGCUGAUGUAUAUGCCGACAUGAUAAACUUGAUAUACAUGCAUACUUUAAUGUCAAUUGGAGAUAAGCUCAUAGUCUGGGGUGCAUCACAUAAUUACUAUGUAUGAACUGUCCUAGAACUAAUCACAUGUACACUUGUAGGCUUCAGAGUGUUGUUUCUGAAGAACCACAUUCAAGUCAUUAAAUUGAUUUUAUGAAGAGAUUCUCUCAGUUCUUGCAUAUUCGAUGUUUCAUGUUUGGCCUGCUUGGUAGCAACAUAGAUUCUCUACAACGUGCUAAUGACUUAUGGGAUGAUACCAUCAUCAUAUUGUCAGAGUAUCAGAGAGAUGAAGAUGGAUUACGAUAUUCAAAUAGAAUUCAUUGACAAGGGUGUUCAGGCUAUGUUGUUGAAAUGGGUCAAAAGUCCACUAAGUUUUAUACAACAAAAGGCCCGUGACAAUGCACGGUCAUGUCACACACACUAAUGAAUUAUUGGCAUGGGAUAAUCUCUAGCUAGCGAGCACCUAGCCUGUUUGCUCCAUAAAGCACAUCUGCACAUAUAUUUUGUACUGUAAGCAAUUCCUUUAUUCGCCUUCAAAAUCUAAAUAGUAUGGAAAUCAGGAAAAUUAUAUAGCUAUUUGGGUGUAUCUCUACUCCUAAUGUCAGGGUUAUUUUAUCAACUACUGGGUUGUUGAUCGACAUUACGGUUUAAUUCUUACACGAAUUAAUGUUGACUCGAUUCCCUGUAGUAGGUUGAGAGGCUUCUCCUCUCAUGAUUUACUCUGAGUAGUUUGCUUGGCUCCAUGAUCCUCAUGAUUUCUUUGAAUUUUUCCUGUAGGAGCUCGAUAAAAAAUAACCUAAGAAAAAUAUGUCGUUCUUCUCUACAAUGGUUGCGUGUGGAAUUUGAGGAGAAUCUGUGCACCAACAUCCGGCUGCUUGAUGUUGCUCUGAUCAUAUUGUGUAAAUAUAUUUCUAAUAAAGCAAUCGCCCCAUGGUGUACAUGUUAGAAAUAACAAGAUGUAAUCAUCAAGUGUGAGAGAUGGCAACAUCAUGAUGGGAUGGUAUGUACUGUUAUGCUCAUCAAUAGGUUAGUCUUUCGUUCUCUUGUAGACAUAUGUUUUUUGUUAUGCAAACAAUUAGGAAAUAUCUAAUUUCUAUGUACGUCCAAAUAUAUAUAAGUGGUUGUUGUUAACACUGAGUUUGAAUUUGUUAAUGGUCGCUGCAUUUGGUCUA